GCACCCGUAGCUCAGCUGGAUCAGAGCGUUGGUUUCCGGUACCAAAGGUCGUAGGUUCGAAUCCUAUCGGGUGUACCA
rnacentral:tRNA from 1 species